UACGAAGGGGGCUAGCGUUGCUCGGAAUCACUGGGCGUAAAGGGUGCGUAGGCGGGUCUUUAAGUCAGGGGUGAAAUCCUGGAGCUCAACUCCAGAACUGCCUUUGAUACUGAGGAUCUUGAGUACGGGAGAGGUGAGUGGAACUGCGAGUGUAGAGGUGAAAUUCGUAGAUAUUCGCAAGAACACCAGUGGCGAAGGCGGCUCACUGGCCCGUAACUGACGCUGAGGCACGAAAGCGUGGGAGCAACAGGG
rnacentral:rRNA from 1 species